AGUCGAGCGGAACGAGUUAACUGAACCUUCGGGGAACGUUAACGGCGUCGAGCGGCGGACGGGUGAGUAAUGCCUAGGAAAUUGCCCUGAUGUGGGGGAUAACCAUUGGAAACGAUGGCUAAUACCGCAUGAUGCCUACGGGCCAAAGAGGGGGACCUUCGGGCCUCUCGCGUCAGGAUAUGCCUAGGUGGGAUUAGCUAGUUGGUGAGGUAAGGGCUCACCAAGGCGACGAUCCCUAGCUGGUCUGAGAGGAUGAUCAGCCACACUGGAACUGAGACACGGUCCAGACUCCUACGGGAGGCAGCAGUGGGGAAUAUUGCACAAUGGGCGCAAGCCUGAUGCAGCCAUGCCGCGUGUGUGAAGAAGGCCUUCGGGUUGUAAAGCACUUUCAGUCGUGAGGAAGGUAGUGUAGUUAAUAGCUGCAUUAUUUGACGUUAGCGACAGAAGAAGCACCGGCUAACUCCGUGCCAGCAGCCGCGGUAAUACGGAGGGUGCGAGCGUUAAUCGGAAUUACUGGGCGUAAAGCGCAUGCAGGUGGUUUGUUAAGUCAGAUGUGAAAGCCCGGGGCUCAACCUCGGAAUAGCAUUUGAAACUGGCAGACUAGAGUACUGUAGAGGGGGGUAGAAUUUCAGGUGUAGCGGUGAAAUGCGUAGAGAUCUGAAGGAAUACCGGUGGCGAAGGCGGCCCCCUGGACAGAUACUGACACUCAGAUGCGAAAGCGUGGGGAGCAAACAGGAUUAGAUACCCUGGUAGUCCACGCCGUAAACGAUGUCUACUUGGAGGUUGUGGCCUUGAGCCGUGGCUUUCGGAGCUAACGCGUUAAGUAGACCGCCUGGGGAGUACGGUCGCAAGAUUAAAACUCAAAUGAAUUGACGGGGGCCCGCACAAGCGGUGGAGCAUGUGGUUUAAUUCGAUGCAACGCGAAGAACCUUACCUACUCUUGACAUCCAGAGAACUUUCCAGAGAUGGAUUGGUGCCUUCGGGAACUCUGAGACAGGUGCUGCAUGGCUGUCGUCAGCUCGUGUUGUGAAAUGUUGGGUUAAGUCCCGCAACGAGCGCAACCCUUAUCCUUGUUUGCCAGCGAGUAAUGUCGGGAACUCCAGGGAGACUGCCGGUGAUAAACCGGAGGAAGGUGGGGACGACGUCAAGUCAUCAUGGCCCUUACGAGUAGGGCUACACACGUGCUACAAUGGCGCAUACAGAGGGCGGCCAACUUGCGAAAGUGAGCGAAUCCCAAAAAGUGCGUCGUAGUCCGGAUUGGAGUCUGCAACUCGACUCCAUGAAGUCGGAAUCGCUAGUAAUCGUGGAUCAGAAUGCCACGGUGAAUACGUUCCCGGGCCUUGUACACACCGCCCGUCACACCAUGGGAGUGGGCUGCAAAAGAA
rnacentral:rRNA from 1 species